rnacentral:rRNA from 1 species
GUAGGUGGCAAGCGUUGUCCGGAAUUAUUGGGCGUAAAGCGCGCGCAGGCGGGUCCUUUAAGUCUGAUGUGAAAGCCCACGGGCUCAACCGCGGAGGGUCAUUGGAAACUGGGGGACUUGAGUACAGAAGAGGAAAGCGGAAUUCCAGGUGUAGCGGUGAAAUGCGUAGAGAUUUGGAGGAACACCAGUGGCGAAGGCGGCUUUCUGGUCUGUAACUGACGCUGAGGCGCGAAAGCGUGGGGAGCAAACAGGAUUAGAUACCCUGGUAGUCCACGCCGUAAACGAUGAGUGCUAAGUGUUAGGGGGUUUCCGCCCCUUAGUGCUGCAGCUAACGCAUUAAGCACUCCGCCUGGGGAGUACGGCCGCAAAGGCUG